rnacentral:other from 1 species
GGGAAUCGAGCGCUGAGGACGGUGUGCAUGCCCGGCUCGUACCGGGAAGCCUGAAAUCCUCCCGAGAUUCCCGCC